rnacentral:rRNA from 1 species
CUUCGGUGCUAGAGACCGGCGCACGGGUGCGUAACGCGUAUGCAAUCUACCUUUUACAGAGGGAUAGCCCAGAGAAAUUUGGAUUAAUACCUCAUAGUAUUAUAGAAUGGCAUCAUUUUAUAAUUAAAGUCACAACGGUAAAAGAUGAGCAUGCGUCCCAUUAGCUAGUUGGUAAGGUAACGGCUUACCAAGGCUACGAUGGGUAGGGGUCCUGAGAGGGAGAUCCCCCACACUGGUACUGAGACACGGACCAGACUCCUACGGGAGGCAGCAGUGAGGAAUAUUGGACAAUGGGCGCAAGCCUGAUCCAGCCAUGCCGCGUGCAGGAUGACGGUCCUAUGGAUUGUAAACUGCUUUUAUACGAGAAGAAACAACAUUACGUGUAAUGUCUUGACGGUAUCGUAAGAAUAAGGAUCGGCUAACUCCGUGCCAGCAGCCGCGGUAAUACGGAGGAUCCAAGCGUUAUCCGGAAUCAUUGGGUUUAAAGGGUCCGUAGGCGGUUUGGUAAG